rnacentral:misc_RNA from 1 species
AACUUUUCGCAACGUAUCUCUUGGCUCUCGCGUCGAUGAAGAACGCAGCGAAAUGCGAUACGUAAUGUGAAUUGCAGAAUUCAGUGAAUCAUCGAAUCUUUCAACGCACCUUGCGCCCCUUGGCAUUCCGAGGGGCACACCCGUUUGAGUGUCGUGAAAUUCUCAAAACCUUUUCCUUUGCCGGAAAGGCUUUUGACUUCGGAGGCCUUUUGCUGGUUUCACCUCGAAGCGAGCUCCUCCCAAAUGGAUUAGUGGGGUCUGCUUUGCCGAUCCUUGACGUGAUAAGAUGCUUCUACGUCUCGGGUUUUGGCACUGUGCCUCUGCUUCUAACCGUCUCAUUGACAACGAUGGUGUUCCGGUCACCGCCGAUUCGUCGGUGGGAGGCUUGACCCACAAAACGACCUUGACCUCAAAUCGGGUGAGACUACCCGCUGAACAUAAGCAUAUCAAUAAGCGGAGGCU